ensembl:lncRNA
GGCCUAGCCCGGUCGCUCGGGCCCACUAAACACUGCUCCGCCCUGCGGUGGGACCGAGGUUUCUGCCCUCCGCGGCCUGGGCCUGGGCCGCAGCCCGGCCCGGCCUCCCGUCGCCCUGCGGCCCUGUCCAACGCCGGGUUAACGUCUUGACUCACAGCCAAACGAGACACCAGAGGGAGAGCGGUCUAACCAAAUAGCUGGUUAAACCACAAAACACAGACAUAAAAAUCACGUCUGACUAGAAUACGGUUUUAUACCCCGCUUUUAUUACGAGGAACUCGUUUAAGAGUAAAAUUCUGACUCGAUGACUUCUUGUUUGCUGAUCGCGAUGCGCCCGCGGCCUUCCGUGAGCGCCGGGUGGACGCCGCGCACCCUCGCGCAGGCCUGCGCGGGCAGGGCUGGCAGCGGCACAGCAGGGCGAGGCGUGCGGAGGGCGGCGCGGCCCGCCUGGGCGUAACGUGCGGGAGCCUCGCCUCCGCUGCCGAAGAAAGAUCAAGUCAAUUGAGAGAAAGCCAAAGAAGAAUCGUAUGCAUUAAAGCUGCCUCAGGAGAAUAGUAACUGUUUUAACAUACUUGUCAACAAGUGUUGCAAUACCAUCUUCAAAUGUUGCUUGCUUAUGCAGGGUAUUGAACAGGAAUCACAGCUCCCUGGAUAUAAUGAAAACAGUGAAGCCAGGUACUUCCAUGGUUUCUUCCAAACAUGUAAGAAGUGGUGAGUGUGGAUGGAUCGUUCCCCAGUUUUCAAUUAAAUCAUGUUCCAAAGAAAAGAAAAGAAUGAAGGAAAGUGCUGCUGAUUUUUGUACAUGCAAAGAAAAAAAAGAAAAAAGAAAAAAAAAGAAAAAAAGAAAAGAAACAAGUUGUUUAGCGAGUUUCUUUUCUCUCUGUCAGGUAACAUAGUCAUUUAUAUUAAUCACCAGGAAAACUGCAAAUCCAAGUCCUGGAACAAAGGGUUCCCACCCGAGUAACUUCCCUCUGAGAGAGGCAAUGGUGCUUCAGUAACUUUUCCUUUCAUGCUUCCCUCAUCUUUCUUCUUUUCUAUUUCAGUUGCUUGGAAUAUGGUUCUUCUGGUUUAUGUUGUUUACAGAAGUAAGGCUUUAAAAGCUGAUGUUGACUAUUAGUAUUUUACAAAAGCAAACCACAAGAACCAUACCAACAAAAAAAACUACUGAAGUGAACACAAAUGUUUUAAUGAAUUAAAAGAAACCUUGAAAGAGCAAAAUCUAUCUCAGAGGUGAAACUGAUGAGGCCAUGUUUGUUGUCCAAGCUGGAAGGAAUGUCAGGUAAGAAAAAGUAGCAUAAAUUAAUAGUAUGUAUUUCAAGCAUUUUCUACAAGAACCAGACUUGAUCCACUGGGACUUAAGUGCACAUUUUCUUGAAGGGAUGAAUAACCUUUUAACACUGUCACUUAGUACACAUUUCCUUUCUCAGAAUUAUUUGGUAUUGGCCACCAUCAGGUAAAAAACAGUGAAUUAAAUGGACUGAUAAUCUCCAGUUCCUAAAUUCUUCAGGGAGGUACAUUCAAUAUUGAAUUUGUUGUGACUGAGUCCUUCAGUUCUUGUACCCUAGCAAAGAAAGUUAGAACUACUAUCUGCUCUUCCUCUGAUCUUGAGGAAAGCUUUGGGAACAAAAUGAUGCUCAUUUCCAACUACCUGUCUCCUCCUCCUGGAAUAAUUGCCAGAUGGAUCAAAAAUUUUGCCUUUCAAGCAGUACCACCCAGUAAAACAAGUAUGUUGCACAAGACCAUAAUGUCGUGGCCUGGUUACUUUUCUCCCAGUUGCUCUACUGCUUUCUUCAUUUGCAAUAGUUUCAGUUCCUCUGUUGUUUCCAUUGGUG